rnacentral:rRNA from 1 species
CCUACGGGUGGCAGCAGUGGGGAAUAUUGGACAAUGGGCGAAAGCCUGAUCCAGCCAUGCCGCGUGUGUGAAGAAGGCCUUCGGGUUGUAAAGCACUUUCAGUGGGGAAGAAAGCCUUGGGGCUAAUACCCUCGAGGAAGGACAUCACCCACAGAAGAAGCACCGGCUAACUCCGUGCCAGCAGCCGCGGUAAUACGGAGGGUGCGAGCGUUAAUCGGAAUUACUGGGCGUAAAGCGCGCGUAGGCGGUCUGAUAAGCCGGUUGUGAAAGCCCCGGGCUCAACCUGGGAACGGCAUCCGGAACUGUCAGGCUAGAGUGCAGGAGAGGAAGGUAGAAUUCCCGGUGUAGCGGUGAAAUGCGUAGAGAUCGGGAAGAAUACCAGUGGCGAAGGCGGCCUUCUGGACUGACACUGACGCUGAGGUGCGAAAGCGUGGGUAGCAAACAGGAUUAGAUACCCGAGUAGUC